rnacentral:rRNA from 1 species
UACGUAGGGGGCAAGCGUUGUCCGGAAUCAUUGGGCGUAAAGCGAGCGUAGGCGGCCCGAUAAGUCUGCUGUAAAAGUCAACGGCUCAACCGUUGAAAGCCGGUGGAUACUGUCGGGCUAGAGUUCGGAAGAGGCAAGUGGAAUUCCUGGUGUAGCGGUGGAAUGCGUAGAUAUCUGGAGGAAUACCGGUGGCGAAGGCGGCAUCCUGGACCGGCAUUGACGCUGAGGAGCGAAAGCCAGGGGAGCAAAGCGGGG